rnacentral:piRNA from 1 species
UACAUCCUUUUUAUGUCUAUA